ensembl:lncRNA
AGCAACCCACUCCAGUAUUCUUGCCUGGAGAAUCCCAUGCACAGAGGAGCAUGGCAGGCUAGUGCCCAUGGAGUCGCAAAGAGUCAGACACAACUGAGCACAGCACAAUCAGUUGAGACCUAUCUACUCUCCUGUAGGUUUUAGGGUUGCCAGAUAAAAUCAGGAUGCCUAGUUAAGUUUGAAUUUCAGAUAGGCAAUGCAUACAACUUUUAAUAUUUGCCCCAUGCAAUAUUUAAUAUAAGUAUGACCCCUAUGGCAUAGGACACACUUCUACACUAAAAGAAUUAUUCAGUGUUCAUCUGCAAUUCAAAUUGAACUAGGCAUCCAGGUUUUGAUUGAAUGAGACUCUUUUUAUUUGCUGAAUCUGGCAACUCUUUCUCUGAAUUCGAAACUCUCAGAAUUCUGCCCCCUCCCCUACCCCAACCAGCCUCUUUUUUUCGCUUUCUCAGUGGAGGUUCGGCCUCUCCUAGACCCAGGCUCUUUUUAAUUUUCCUCCUCCCCUGGUUUUUAUUUACUUUAGCAAAAUCAUACUGGGUAUCGAUUUCAAAGUCUUUGAUGUUAUACCGGAGACUCAGUUGAGGGUGCCUGAGCUUUAGGAAGGUUUCCUCAGGACACUGGGAGGAAAUUAAACCUCAGAAAAUAUGCUUGAUGUUUUUUCUUUCCUCCUGAAAAGAACGUCCGUGGGUUGGGCUCCGUUCUGGUCACGGGAGCGCAAACAGUGGAGUGAAGGCCAAAACCCCCGCUUCUCAAGUCUCCACCGGCUACNNNNNNNNNNNNNNNNNNNNNNNNNNNNNNNNNNNNNNNNNNNNNNNNNNNNNNNNNNNNNNNNNNNNNNNNNNNNNNNNNNNNNNNNNNNNNNNNNNNCGGUCCCGGCCCGUGAGUGAUUUAUCUCCAGCUGCACUGGCAGCUUUCCCAGGGUUUCCAUCCUCAGCUGAACUUAUUCAGGGAGGCCCUGAGCCUGCAGGCUCCAGGGAAUCCGAGAAGUCAGCGAGACUGGGGCUUCCCAAGCCGUACUGUGCACAUGGAUUCCCUGGGGAGCUUUCACCAGCCCUAGCGCUGGGGCUCGUGAACCCAGGAUCUCUGGACGUGGACCCAGGCAUCGAGAGUCAAGAGGAAAGAUGCUGGACUCACAUCUAUCAAGUGGAGGGAAACAUACAGCCGAGGAUGGUUAACGUGAACAUGAGAUGUGUUUGCGUCUGAAGACUGCAGCCCAAGACGCCCAUAGGAAGCCUCCAUCCUGGUGCCCGCUGGGCUGUGAGUUUGCCCCUCUGGCUAUGAGCUCGGCGUCCCCACCAGACACUUCCUUUUCUACCAGGAUCCAGCUGCUCGCCAGUCCCUCCCCCACCCUACUUUGUUAGAAGCAGCUGUUUUUCCCCUUCCAGUCCUCCAAGUGCUGAUUUCAUUUCUUUCCCGACAGAAGUUUGGAGCCAGGAGGGAAAUGGUUUGGCAGGAAGUCAACGAGCCAUGGGAGGAAGACGACAGAGUGGAGAAAGCAGACGUCUCACAGAGGGGCUGGGCCGAGGGGGUCUGAGUGGGCAGACUGGACAGGGCUCCAAAGACCCCCAGAAGUCCCUGCAAGUCCCUGGAGUCCAGGUGGGUCUGUGGCCUCCGUGGACUUUACUUGCUCUCCUCUGAGUUGCUCUUAGCAACUUUAGCUGGGGUGGAUUCCAGAAAGUUCUUUUCCCCAGCAGUUUUUCUCUCUGGUGUCGCUGGAGAGAGGUGAAGGCUAGCUGUGGGGAGGAAGGAAACCAUGGGGGUCCGGGGCUGGCAGGGAACGUUUGAACAUGUGUGUUGAGGGUUGACACUGCCAGGGCAGGAGACUUGAGGGGUGACGAGAGGUACCGGAGGACCAAAGGCUGGAGAGCUGUAAUGUGUGUAGGCCGUUGAGACUCAGCACCCGUGGCCCCUGGGACAGGUGGCCCAGGCCUGGAGGAGUCCAGUCCCCCGCUCCCCAAAGUCUCACGUUGUCCCUCCACCCUCACCCCAGCCACAGCUGCUCCGGCUCUUCUCCCCUAAAUCUCCCUCUCCUCCCAACCCAGCUAAACCAGCGUCUUUUGAGUUCUGGAAAAAUUCCUCUCCCCUUAACUAUGCCAUAAAAAGGCUGAAAGUUUUCCAAAAGGAACACUUAACUGAGACAUAGAAGGGAAAACCUGGGCGCAGAGAAACGGCUGAUGUUACAGAGUGCAGACCCAAGUCCAGCUCAACCGCACGUCUGGUGGGGGGUCGCUUGGUGGUGCAGGAGCCGACUGUUCUUGGAAUUCCUUGACUCAGUCCAGCCUAUGUGGUGGCCGCAAACACAGGCCGACUUCUCAGCGGAAAUGUGGCUGGUGGAGUUGAGGGGCUGCUUCCAGCCUUGAGGGACCUUCGAGUUGCUCAGAGGCUGAUGGGCCCAGGUCUUUGUCUGAGAAGGAGCUCUGCACCUCCACCCCAACCUGGGCUGACCCAGGCCCCUCUCAGCAGCCCUUCCUGACCCAGCCACCUCCUUGAGUCUUGUCCUGGCCCUGCCUCCUUCAUUCUUCUCUUGGAGGUGACUGGCUCCUGGCUUAGGAGAGCCCACUACCCCUCUCCCCACACUACCAAUCUCUCUCUGCCUGGCCAGUUUGCCAGAAGCAUGUUCCCUGGGUUUGGGGCUGGCUCCAGGGUGGAGCAGUGGAGUGCACUGGGCCCUCCAAUGGGUCUCUCCAUUUCCAAGCCUGCAUCACCUUUGGGGUCCCCUAAGUGUCUGGUUUCUGUCUUGAGGGAUUGAACUUGUCCAUGAGGGAGACGUGGCUGAUAUACCCAAAUGUAAAGUGUGUUAUUUUUCAAAAUAGGUAAAACAUCUACAUGUUAGUAUAAUCACACAUGAAACAUAAGUGGCUUCAUCCCUCUAUCCCUUCUUCUUCUCUAGAGAGAACCACUACCUGUGUCUUCCAGAGG